rnacentral:rRNA from 1 species
GUGGGGAAUAUUGGACAAUGGGCGCAAGCCUGAUCCAGCAAUGCCGCGUGGGUGAAGAAGGUCUUCGGAUCGUAAAGCCCUUUCGACAGGGACGAUGAUGACGGUACCUGUAGAAGAAGCCCCGGCUAACUUCGUGCCAGCAGCCGCGGUAAUACGAAGGGGGCUAGCGUUACUCGGAAUUACUGGGCGUAAAGGGCGCGUAGGCGGCUCUGUUAGUCAGGCGUGAAAUUCCUGGGCUUAACCUGGGGACUGCGCUUGAUACUGCAGGGCUUGAGGCCGAGAGAGGGUGGUGGAAUUCCCAGUGUAGAGGUGAAAUUCGUAGAUAUUGGGAAGAACACCGGUGGCGAAGGCGGCUCACUGGACCGACAUUGACGCUGAGGCGCGAAAGCGUGGGGAGCAAACAGGAUUAGAAACCCCGGUAGUCC